UACGUAGGGUGCAAGCGUUGUCCGGAAUUAUUGGGCGUAAAGAGCUCGUAGGCGGUCUGUCGCGUCUGCUGUGAAAACUCGGGGCUUAACCCCGGGCCUGCAGUGGGUACGGGCAGACUAGGGUGCGGUAGGGGAGACUGGAAUUCCUGGUGUAGCGGUGAAAUGCGCAGAUAUCAGGAGGAACACCGGUGGCGAAGGCGGGUCUCUGGGCCGUAACUGACGCUGAGGCGCGAAAGCGUGGGGAGCAAACAGG
rnacentral:rRNA from 1 species